UACGUAGGGGGCAAGCGUUGUCCGGAAUCAUUGGGCGUAAAGAGCUCGUAGGCGGCCUGUUGCGUCCGCUGUGAAAGCCCGGGGCUUAACCCCGGGUCGGCAGUGGAUACGGGCAGGCUAGAGGUAGGUAGGGGAGAAUGGAAUUCCCGGUGUAGCGGUGAAAUGCGCAGAUAUCGGGAGGAACACCGGUGGCGAAGGCGGUUCUCUGGGCCUGUACUGACGCUGAGGAGCGAAAGCGUGGGGAGCGAACAGG
rnacentral:rRNA from 1 species